rnacentral:lncRNA from 1 species
AAGGGUGCGAUGCCAAGCAUUUAUUUAUUCUGGACGAGCCGUGCGACGAGGAGCCAAAGGACUCGCCGACGCCGCUCGCCUAGCUACCUAGCAAGUGAGGUUGGGUCCGGGGUCGACGCCGAGCUGCUGGCAGUACUGCCUGUAGUAGCCCACCCGCGCGUUCAUCUGGGCAGUAUUCUUGCCGUUGCACUCGAGGGCGCCGUUGAUGGCCCUGAUGGUGGCGCCGAACCCCUGCGACAUCACCCCGUGCACGUUGUUGGUCCAGAACCAGAGCGCCGUCUUGAACGCGACCACGGCGUCCUGCGCCACCCUGUCCGGGUUCCGAAGCCCGUCGAAGCCGAUGUCCCUCCCGGCAGGCCCGUAGUUGUAGUUCCACGAGAUUUGCAGCGGGCCGCGCCCGUAGUACUUCUGACCCGCGGCACACGGCCACUGCCUGUUGCUCGAGUCGCAGUAGGCGUUGUUCUUGUUGAUCUCGCUGAUGUAGCAGAAAUCUGUAUGUGGUGUCCGUAUCGAGUCGUGCACACAGCAGAAUUACAAAAAUCGAUCAGCAUUAUGCAUGGGUCAAAAAUCAAAGACGAUUACGAUACUGUGGAAGAGAGAUUAGAGUGUGUGGUCAUCAGUGGACGUUCAAUCAACUUACGUCCGGUCUCGUGCGUGAUGUGGGCGAAGAAGGCGGCGAUCUCGCGCUUGCCCUGCACCGACCUGCCACCGAAGCCUUUGUACGCGUCGGCGGCGCUCAGGAACGCGCUCCGGGUGUAGAAGUUCUUGCCCUCGCACCCGUUCCCGGCCUGGUUCUUGAUGCUGUUGAAGAAUGCGUCGGUGACAACGCCAGCCACGUUCCCACCUCCACUGCUGCCGCCGCCAGAGCGGCACGGGCCCGACUGGCACCCGUCGCCGCAGUACUCGUCGGUCGUGCCGCAGUAACCGAACUUGCUGCAGCAGUAACCUGCCUGGCAGCCGCAGUUCUGCGCGGCGGCAGCGCAGAGGAGUGCUAGGCCGAGAGCCAGGACCGCCAUGAUCCUCGGCGCGAUUGCCAUACUGGAUCAGAUCAGUAGUACUUCAGCUUCUGGCCAAAGGUUUGUUGCUGCGGUGCAGCUUUGUUGCGAGGUGAUUUGAGAUGUCACGAGGGUGCCGCUUUAUAUAGGCAUCAGAACGUGCGUCUUGCCGAUGCAUGGCAUGCGACGUGGAGGAUUUGGACGGAGUGGCUGUGUCCCGGUCCACGCAUAGCACUGGCACGUACUGUACGACCGUUCCACGCAUUGCACUGGCACGUACGACUGUUCCACAUUUUAUGAUGGACUUUUGACACAUGGGACAGCUAGCAUGUAUCGACAAGCACAAGUCUAACGUACGUUGGUCGAGAUAUCAUCAGAUUUGGAUUGCCACCGCCCAUCGCCUGAAUGCUCGGUGGAAAAUCCGCGCAUGCUAGCUGCUAGAAGCCAUUUGUUUUCCAUUCCUAUAGUUUUUUUUCCUGACAGAUGCAGUCGCUCGUAAAUACGAGUGUACACUCAACCCUAUGAACAUACACGUACACUUAACUUCUAUGAACAUCUUCGAAAAAACAAAUUAGACCAAUAAAUCUUGAGAGACGCCUCGUUAUCAACAGGAACAUUACCUAUAUUGCAAAUCAAAGGAUCCUGAAAAAUAAGAGAUGCUGGAGAAUAAUAAUGAAGCCGAGAAGGACAAGUGAAGUAAAAGGAGAAGUUUGUAUUUUUUUGCCACCGGAGCCCGUCUGUUCCUUUGAAACUUUUUUCUUAUUCUAGUUUUUGGGAUGUUGUCUGUAAUCUUCAAUCUAGUUUCGCUGUUAGUGUAGCAAAUUGUUCGCUUUCUUAAACUCUGGUUAGUUGUAAGUGGCUGGUCUGGUUCUGUUUCUGUCUACACUAUGUUCUGAAUUAUAUUUCUGUUGGAAGUAAUGAAAAUGAGGAAGAUCCUUUGUAUAAAAAAAGAAUAGUGUCAUUAAAUCCUAGAAUAAAUCUUUCUUAUUCUAGUUUUUGGGACGUUGUCUGUAAUCUUUAAUCUAGUUUCGCAGUUAGUGUAGCAAAUUGUUCACUUUCUUAAACUCUAGUUAGUUGUAAGUGGCUGGUCUGGGUUCUGUUACUAUCUACACUCUGUCCCAAACUGUAUUUCCAUUGAAAGUAAUGAAAAUGGGGAAGAUCCCUUCUAUUGAAAAAAGAAUAGUACCAUUAAAUUCUAAAAUAAAUCUUUCUUAUUCUAGUUUUUGGGACGUUGUCUGUAAUCUUCAAUCUAGCUUCACUGUUAGUGUAGCAAAUUGUUCGCUUUCUUAAACUCUAGUUAGUUGUAAGUGGCUGGUCUGGGUUCUGUUCCUGUCUACACUCUGUCCCGAACUGUAUUUCCGUUGGAAGUAAUGAAAAUGCUUGUAUCGAAAAAAAUAGUUCCAUUAAGUCCUAGAAUAAAUCUAAAAAAAUUCAAGUAGCUGUGUCAAAUCAGUUAAACUUGGACGGUCAGGUUUCACCACAAUCCAACCAGCUGAGCUCGCUCAGUUUGCAUAUUUCCUAUAGUCUGUUUUGUCUUUGUCCUUCCGUAAAAAGAAUUAUAAUUAUUUUAUUGUGAUUUGUGCUAAUAGAUUUAGAACGUUAGAUAGAGAUCUGAUAGUGUUAACCGUCGCCUGAACAAAUGCUAUAUUUCAAACACGUGUAACUUUUCUCGUAUACGUACUGUUGCUUCAAAAAACUCCAUGUACCUCGCAUGUGAGUAUUUAUUGGUGGCCUUGGCCUGCGUGUUCCAACUAAGGCUACCAGAAAUGGUCAACCAAGAACGGAAGACUUCCAAGCUAGCUACCGGUGAUGGAUUGGGCCAUAUGCAUGAUCAAACGAAGUCGUAGAUAGCUUUCUAUAUUUUUGUUAUUUCUGUAGAAGGCUCGUUGGCUUUUUUCCUUCCUUAUUCUCAUUAUGCGUGGAUUUAGAAUAGAAGAGUUCUAGCACUCAAUACAGCGGAAGAUUGUUCUCGUGCCUCACUUUAUUUAUUAAUCGCUCCCUCUAUCGUGUAGUAUAUUCUAAAAAUUAUAAGACAAAAUAAAGAAGAAUAUAAAAUACGUAUCUACCUUUGCUUUAUUUCUUGAUGAGACGUUAUUAUCAACUUAAUUAAUGGUGAUUGGUUGAUAAAUAGAAAAUAUUUUUAACGCCCCCCCCCCCCCACCCCCCACUGACACAAAUUUUGGGCCGUGGUGUAGUGCCACUAAAUGAUGGUGAUUGGUUAAUAAAUGGCAAGUAACACUACCAUACCUACCAAAUUUGUGCAACUAUUUCAUUCAAAAUUAUUUUUCCUCUGUAAUCCCUUGGUUUUGGGUUUAAUUUUUAAUGUUUGUAUGCACUAUAUUAUAUGACAAAAGGAAGUAUAUAACACCCCCUAAUGUCCAGUGUUCGCCGACUGACUUCUCUUUUAAUCAGCCGUGGAAACUGGUUGAAUAUAUACUGUAUACUUACAUCCAAACCCAUGCAAGGAGACCCUUGAAAAGAACACAAAAUUUGCACUGAAGUUAUUUUUUGAGGUUUGAUCUAUCGCAUAUGUGGCCUACCAUUAGGGAUUAGCAGCGCUGGAUGCGCUCUGAUCCACUGUUACUUGGUACUCCUACUAGCCUACUAGGUAAUAAUGUAAGCGUAAAGUAAUCAAAACUCAUCAACAGAGGAAGAUUUGUGAUCGAUAGUAUAUGCAUAAGAUAAUUCAAUCGGAAUAAGAGCAUCUCUAACAGUUAUGCAAUUGGAAUUUGCCAUUUGUUUGAGUUUGCCAAGUCUCUAAACGUUUUGCCAAAGGAAAAAUAAGUUCAUCUCCAAGUGUUUGACAUUUUUGACUUGACAUUUCCCAAAAUAGUGGACCCAACUAUUUUUGUCCGGAAAUCUUUCAUCUUCGCGGGAAAUUUUCUCGCACGUCGCGCGGGCGCUUUCUUUUUCGCACGCAAUUCCUUCGCCCGUCGCGUUCCUUUGUCGCGAUCGAUCUCCGUGAUCAACUCGACGCGGCAGCAGCGCGUGGACUUCGACGUCUUCCUCACGCCGGUGAACCCCAACAAGAUGACGGCGUUGUGGUACAGGAGCGGCACGGUGAAGAUGCGGCGAUGGAUUUCCUAGCCUCGCGUCGCUGCAAGAAAAGGAGGCAGUGAUGGAUCUCUUUGUCCCUGCGCAAAGAAAGGAGACGGCGCGCGGGGGAAAGAAAAGAGUCGCGCGCGAGGAGGACUCGUCUCGCGGGAAACUACCGCGACGUGGGGGUACGACAAGGAGUCCAAGAUUCUCAGGAUAUCAAAAUUGCCAAACCAUUGUGCUUAUGCAAAAAUGCCAAGUUUGGUCCAUCAAAUGUCAAGUUUGCCAAAAUGCAUAAGUCAAAUGUAAAAUUGUUGGAGAGCAAUUUUUAAGGUUUUUGGCAAAUUUCAAGAAUGCAAAGUCCAAUUGCAUAAUGGUUGGAGAUGCUCUAAGAAAUUUGUUUUUCAUUGCAUAGCUCAACCAUUCAGGUACUAUGUUGCACAAGAACCACUUUUCAUCAUGAUUGGUUAUUGGUAUAUGGCCUUCUUUGUGUUUGCAAAAUCUCUCAUAUUUCCAUGCGUUUGGCGGAGAGCGACAAGGUGUGUGUCUCACAAAUCAUCUCCUUCCUCUUAUUUCUUCAACAAAUCAACAUAGGCACAGGUAUGGCUGGAAGGGGCCGAUUCAGCCAAGAGAGCAGCCACCAGCGGCAACGGAUGAAACCGCAAGCUUCACCUAAUCACCACCCACGCACCCGAAGAUGGUUUUAAUUGGUCGAGGCUAGUAACAAGUUGGCCGAGCCUAAGAGCCUUCCCGUCCAGCGGUCGACAACAACAAGUAGAAGGUAGAAGAUAGAUGGAGAUAAAAUGGUAGAUCUGACAUAGAGUUAUCCUAAAUACGUGUGUGCGGAGACGAGAGAACUGCGGCGGACUCAUCUGCACAUUUGUUGAAGCUCGCCUAGACACAGACACUGUUUAUUGAUUUAGUCUUUAAACCCUUGAUGCAAUCGUAGUAAAGUACAAGCGCGAGUGUACACACUAAUGUUUCGAGGGUAUAGUUGCUUCAUUAUUAGUAAGGUGCAACAAACAGGCUCAGCCCCAGCGUUUUAUUGUUACUACUAGCUAGCUCGUACUCGCUAAACUCUGUGUUUCGCGAGGGUGCGACGCCGAGCAUGCAUUUUCUGGACGAGCCAUCCAAGGACUGCCGACGCCACUCGCCUAGCAAGUGAGGUUGGGCCCGGGGUCGACGCCGAGCUGCCGGCAGUACUGCUUGUAGUAGCCCACCCGCGCGUUCAUCUGGGCAGUAUUCUUGCCGUUGCACUCGAGGGCGCCGUUGAUGGCCCUGAUGGUGGCGCCGAACCCCUGCGACAUCACCCCGUGCACGUUGUUCGUCCAGUACCAGAGCGCCGUCUUGAACGCGAUCACGG